GAAUUUGACGGUAAUUUAAUCUGUUCAGAGGAACCUGUGUAGUAAUCGAUGGUCCACGAUAAAUUUUACCUUAAAAUUAUGGGUUUGUAUAUCUCUGUCUUAAGAAUGUUUUAUUAGAAUGAUUUUCUUUACUUAAUAUUUAAUUUAAGUCAGGUCAAGGUGCAGCUUUUUAAGGGUUAUUAUGGGUUACAUUAAUUUAUGAAUUUUGGGUUGAAGGUUUUAUUACCUUUAUUAAAUUGGAUUUGAUUGUAAUAUAUUUUAUAUAUUUUUUAUGAUAUUUGCUCUAGAUUAAGUACACAUCGCCCGUCGCUCUUAUUUAUUUAUAAAGAUAAGAUAAGUCGUAACAAAGUAGGCUUAUCGGAAGAUGAGCCUGGAAUGAAUUCGAGUCAUAGCCGGAGGGCUAUUUGUUAUUUACAUUAAUGAAUUAUUUGUGCGAUUCAAAUUGACUUUGAUGUAUUAAGUUAAUUAAUGUUUAUUAUUAUUGUUAAUUUAUUUUUUAUAGAAAUAAUUUUUGUAUUAGUAUUGUUUAUGGAAUAUAAGUAUUAUAAUUUAUAGUUUAUCAGUACUGUGAAGGAAUUUUUAUUAAUGCUUUUAAGUAGAUAUUAAUAUUGUACCUUUUGUAUCAGGGUUUAUCUAAAGUAAUUAAUUAUUGAUUAAUAUUCCCGAAAUUAUAAGAGAUAUUUAAAAAUGAAUUUUAUUGUUGUAAAAAUAUUAGUAAUUAUUAAAUAGGAGUUAUAUGCUAUUCAGUUAUAUAUAUCUGGUUUCUUAAGAAUUUAAUUGAAUUUAUCCCUAAUUAUUAAAUAGUUGCAUAUAUUAUAAAUUUUAUUUUUAGGGGAAAAUGUAAGGGGAUAAGCUUUUGCGUUAUUAUUAUAAAGAUUUUAAUAUUUAUAUAUUAAGUAGGAUUGAUAAUUUCUUUCAUGUAUUUUGUUAUAAUUAAAUUUAUAUAUUAAUAAUUAUUUAGUUGUUUUUAAAUUAUAUAUUAAGAAUUUAUAUGUAUUUAUAUUUUAAAGGUUAAAAUGAUGGAAUUAGUAAAAUAUAAUUUAUAUUAACAGUAACUCGGCAAAUAUAGAGCCCACCUGUUUAACAAAAACAUGUCCUGUUGAUUAUAUUUUAAUAGGUCAGGCCUGCUCGGUGAUAAUUUUAACAGCUGCAGUAUAUUGACUGUGCAAAGGUAGCAUAAUCAUUUGUCUUUUAAUUGUGGACUGGAAUGAACGGCUUAAUGAGGUUCUUGCUUUCUUUUAAUAUAAUUUUUGAAUUUUGUGUUUGUGUAAAAAAACAUAAAUAUUGUUAUAGGACGAGAAGACCCUAUAGAAUUUUAUUAUUUACUUAAUGUAAUGAAUUUAUUUAUUAUUUUUAAUUAAUUAAAUGAUUUUGUUGGGGUGACAGAGAGAUUUUUAACACUCUCUUUUUUUAUUAUUUAUUGAUGUAUAUAUUUAUGAUCCUAUUUAUAGAUUAUAAGAUUAAAUUACCU
rnacentral:rRNA from 1 species